rnacentral:rRNA from 1 species
UUCCGGUUGAUCCUGCCGGAGGUUACUGCUAUCCGAGGUUCGACUAAGCCCAUGCGAGUUCGAAUGUAGCAAUACAUGGCGAACUGCUCAGUAACACGUGGACAACCUGCCCUUAGGACGGGGGAUAAACCCCGGGAAACUGGGUAUAAUACCCGAUAGGUCUUGAUUGCUGGAAUGCAUCGAGAUUUAAAGCUCCGGCGCCUAAGGAUGGGUCUGCGGCCUAUCAGGUAGUAGUGGGUGUAGCGUACCUACUAGCCUACGACGGGUACGGGUUGUGAGAGCAAGAGCCCGGAGAUGGAUUCUGAGACACGAAUCCAGGCCCUACGGGGUGCAGCAGGCGCGAAAACUUUACAAUGCUGGCAACAGCGAUAAGGGAACCUCGAGUGCCAGGUUACAAAUCUGGCUGUCGAGAUGCCUAAAAAGCAUUUCAUAGCAAGGGCCGGGCAAGACCGGUGCCAGCCGCCGCGGUAACACCGGCGGCUCGAGUGGUAACCGUUAUUAUUGGGUCUAGAGGGUCUGUAGCCGGCCGGAUAAGUCUCUUGAGAAAUCUGGCAGCUUAACUGUCAGGCUUUCAGGAGAUACUGUCUGGCUCGAGGCCGGGAGAGGUGAGAGGUACUUCAGGGGUAGGGGUGAAAUCUUGUAAUCCUUGAAGGACCACCAGUGGCGAAGGCGUCUCACCAGAACGGACCUGACGGCAAGGGACGAAAGCUAGGGGCACGAACCGGAUUAGAUACCCGGGUAGUCCUAGCCGUAAACGAUACUCGCUAGGUGUCGGCCACGGUGCGACCGUUGUCGGUGCCGUAGGGAAGCCGUGAAGCGAGCCACCUGGGAAGUACGGCCGCAAGGCUGAAACUUAAAGGAAUUGGCGGGGGAGCACCACAACGGGUGGAGCUUGCGGUUUAAUUGGAUUCAACGCCGGG